GGGGGUAUCUACUUAUUCAUUCUUGUCAUUACAUGACUGGCUAACUUACAACAAUCAAGUAACACACAUUCAAAUAAAAUGUAAGUGUUGCAAAUGCUUACAGCUGAAUCCUGGCUAUGUUUGUAUACUUUUUAUUUUAAAUUGUAUACAGUGUAACAUUCUUCUUCUUUCACUGGAUAAGUAUAUUAGUACUUAGGCAAUACUGUGCUUCGGAACUUCGGCACUACUACACUUCAGAAAUUCGGUAAUUUCAGCACUUUGACAAUUCAUCUAUUCAGACAUUCGGAAGCACCCGAAUUACUCGAAAUUCGGCCGAAUUUUAAUUAGGAUUGAAACGAAUUGCACAUGACUACUGUUCACUGAUGAGGGCCGUGCAACCCUGGAUGGUCCAGAUGAAUGGAGUAGUGGAUGGUUGGUGGACGUCCAAACAGCAGCUCUGGGAGGCUAUUCU